UUGUCUGUAUGUAUGUGGCAGAACUUGAGAGAGAUGCUUACCCUGUUCUUGAUGAACUUGCCAUGAGUGUUAGCACGAGGAACCUUUAACACGUGAAAAGGCUUCACAUACCAGAUCCUGGUGGCACCUGAAGAUCUCGAUUCUCGACAUCUUCUUGCAGCUUUCAACUGCAAAUGUCACUCGGAGAAUUACUUUCCCAUAUUCAGGUGCCUUUGCUGCGAUUAGACAUUUAGACACAGGAUCAGGCAAGUUUAUGAGAUAGUCGAGUCUUCAACAGAUGAGGAUUUUGGUGUUCCAACACUACGGAUUCAUGAUAGAGUUCUAGUUAAACAGGAGUCAGAGAAUCACCUUUCUGUGCAUUGGAUAGCGGGUCCUAUUAGUGAUAUGGUCUCAGACUCUGUUGUUACAUUGGUUUUAAAUGCAAACCGAGAAAUGCCAAAGUUGGUUGUGGAAUCAGAACCUGUGGUAAAUGGAGAGGAAGAUGCAAAGAAAACUGAGAAAAUUAUUCACACACUGUUGGUCUCAUUGUUUGGUGAUGUAAAACUUGGGGAGAAUGGCAAAUUCGUUAUAAAUGUCGAUGGGAACAUAGCGGAACUUGACAAACAGAUUGGUGAUGUUGAAACUGAAAAUGAUGGCCUCAAGGAACAAGUUAAAACAGCAUUUAGGCGAAUCACUAGUGCUGCGAAGCCCAUCCCAUUCUCAUCACCUUAGAUUAAGCGCAUAUGACUUUCAGAGCAGCAAAUCCUGCCUCUUUUGCCAGGGCUUCAAAUUGUCUCUGUGUUCUCUCCUUCCCUCCAGGAUUCAUCGUCAUCAUGAGUAUGUCAGCGUAAAAUGCACAACCAUACGCGACAUCUUUCUCAGGAUGUUCCGGCAGUAUACCAUCUACUAACACCACCUUACCAGAUUCUGGCAAAGCUUUCCAACAGUUCUUCAGCAGCUUCAGACAAUGUUCAUCAUCCCAAUCGUUUAGUAUCCACUGCAGUUUUCAGAACAAUUUGCUUAGAUAUUGUGUAUAACAAAGAUACCAUCAUUUUCUUCUUUUUUCGCAAGUUGUCUUUACACUAGUAUAUUUUACUGAGGAAUGAGCACUAACCUUCAUGAA